CCUACGGGAGGCAGCAGUGAGGAAUAUUGGUCAAUGGACGAGAGUCUGAACCAGCCAAGUAGCGUGAAGGAUGACUGCCCUAUGGGUUGUAAACUUCUUUUAUAUGGGAAUAAAAUGUUCCACGUGUGGGAUUUUGUAUGUACCAUAUGAAUAAGGAUCGGCUAACUCCGUGCCAGCAGCCGCGGUAAUACGGAGGAUCCGAGCGUUAUCCGGAUUUAUUGGGUUUAAAGGGAGCGUAGGUGGAUUGUUAAGUCAGUUGUGAAAGUUUGCGGCUCAACCGUAAAAUUGCAGUUGAAACUGGCAGUCUUGAGUACAGUAGAGGUGGGCGGAAUUCGUGGUGUAGCGGUGAAAUGCUUAGAUAUCACGAAGAACUCCGAUUGCGAAGGCAGUUCACUGGACUGCAACUGACACUGAGGCUCGAAAGUGUGGGUAUCAAACAGGAUUAGAUACCCCAGCAGUC
rnacentral:rRNA from 1 species